AGAAGAUGGAGGCCAUACCUGCAGAAGAAGAUGCCUGGGGACCUGGGAUCUUCGCUGGAGCCUGCUGGAUCAUGAUCAGCACAAGAUUUUUUAGGACAGGAGAUGUCAUCUACCCCUACAAGAAACCCACUAGGAGAGGUAGCAGAAAAUGACACAGAACAAGGAAGAACAAGAACGAAGCAACAACGCAAGCAGUUAUCUCCUCGUUCUCAGAACACCCAAAAGAGACUGCAAACAUAAGUGAGACUAUGGCCAGACCACCUGGAGCUUGAAAACUAGGAUGAAUAACCAUCGCUAUAGUAUCAGAAACAGAUAAUGAACUUACCUGUCUCCAAGCACUUUACAGAGGUUAAGAAUUGAACAAGAAUUAUUAUGAUACUGUGAACUGAGAAGGAGGGCUAUGACACCUGUUCCAUCUCAUGCCAUUUUUGUUUUUAUUGUUGGUAGCUAUGUAUUUUUUUCUUUUAAUUUUUUGUUUAUAUU